rnacentral:rRNA from 1 species
CCUACGGGUGGCAGCAGUGAGGAAUAUUGGACAAUGGCCGAGAGGCUGAACCAGCCAAGUCGCGUGAGGGAAGACGGCCCUACGGGUUGUAAACCUCUUUUGUCGGGGAGCAAAGCGAACCACGUGUGGUUCAUUGAGAGUACCCGAAGAAAAAGCAUCGGCUAAGUCAGUGCCAGCAGCCGCGGUAAUACGGAGGAUGCGAGCGUUAUCCGGAUUUAUUGGGUUUAAAGGGGGCGCAGGCGGAGGUGCAAGUCAGCGGUAAAAUUGCGGGGCUCAACCCCGUACUGCCGUUGAAACUGCAUCCCUUGAGUGCGCGAGAGGUAUGCGGAAUGCGAGGUGUAGCGGUGAAAUGCGUAGAUAUCACGAAGAACGCCGAUUGCGAAGGCAGCAGACCGGCGCGCAACUGACGCUCAGGCACGAAAGCGUGGGUAUCGAACAGGAUUAGAUACCCCGGUAGUC